AAAUUGAAGAGUUUGAUCAUGGCUCAGAUUGAACGCUGGCGGCAGGCCUAACACAUGCAAGUCGAGCGGUAGCACAGAGAGCUUGCUCUCGGGUGACGAGCGGCGGACGGGUGAGUAAUGUCUGGGAAACUGCCUGAUGGAGGGGGAUAACUACUGGAAACGGUAGCUAAUACCGCAUAAUGUCGCAAGACCAAAGUGGGGGACCUUCGGGCCUCAUGCCAUCAGAUGUGCCCAGAUGGGAUUAGCUAGUAGGUGGGGUAACGGCUCACCUAGGCGACGAUCCCUAGCUGGUCUGAGAGGAUGACCAGCCACACUGGAACUGAGACACGGUCCAGACUCCUACGGGAGGCAGCAGUGGGGAAUAUUGCACAAUGGGCGCAAGCCUGAUGCAGCCAUGCCGCGUGUGUGAAGAAGGCCUUCGGGUUGUAAAGCACUUUCAGCGGGGAGGAAGGCGAUAAGGUUAAUAACCUCAUCGAUUGACGUUACCCGCAGAAGAAGCACCGGCUAACUCCGUGCCAGCAGCCGCGGUAAUACGGAGGGUGCAAGCGUUAAUCGGAAUUACUGGGCGUAAAGCGCACGCAGGCGGUCUGUCAAGUCGGAUGUGAAAUCCCCGGGCUCAACCUGGGAACUGCAUUCGAAACUGGCAGGCUAGAGUCUUGUAGAGGGGGGUAGAAUUCCAGGUGUAGCGGUGAAAUGCGUAGAGAUCUGGAGGAAUACCGGUGGCGAAGGCGGCCCCCUGGACAAAGACUGACGCUCAGGUGCGAAAGCGUGGGGAGCAAACAGGAUUAGAUACCCUGGUAGUCCACGCCGUAAACGAUGUCGAUUUGGAGGUUGUGCCCUUGAGGCGUGGCUUCCGGAGCUAACGCGUUAAAUCGACCGCCUGGGGAGUACGGCCGCAAGGUUAAAACUCAAAUGAAUUGACGGGGGCCCGCACAAGCGGUGGAGCAUGUGGUUUAAUUCGAUGCAACGCGAAGAACCUUACCUGGUCUUGACAUCCACAGAACUUAGCAGAGAUGCUUUGGUGCCUUCGGGAACUGUGAGACAGGUGCUGCAUGGCUGUCGUCAGCUCGUGUUGUGAAAUGUUGGGUUAAGUCCCGCAACGAGCGCAACCCUUAUCCUUUGUUGCCAGCGGUUCGGCCGGGAACUCAAAGGAGACUGCCAGUGAUAAACUGGAGGAAGGUGGGGAUGACGUCAAGUCAUCAUGGCCCUUACGACCAGGGCUACACACGUGCUACAAUGGCAUAUACAAAGAGAAGCGACCUCGCGAGAGCAAGCGGACCUCAUAAAGUAUGUCGUAGUCCGGAUUGGAGUCUGCAACUCGACUCCAUGAAGUCGGAAUCGCUAGUAAUCGUAGAUCAGAAUGCUACGGUGAAUACGUUCCCGGGCCUUGUACACACCGCCCGUCACACCAUGGGAGUGGGUUGCAAAAGAAGUAGGUAGCUUAACCUUCGGGAGGGCGCUUACCACUUUGUGAUUCAUGACUGGGGUGAAGUCGUAACAAGGUAACCGUAGGGGAACCUGCGGUUGGAUCACCUCCUUA
rnacentral:rRNA from 2 species